ACGGCCCAAACUCCUACGGGAGGCUGCAGUAGGGAAUCUUCCACAAUGGGCGCAAGCCUGAUGGAGCAACGCCGCGUGUGUAAUGAAGGCUUUCGGGUCGUAAAGCACUGUUGUAUGGGAAGAAAUGCUAAAAUAGGGAAUGAUUUUAGUUUGACGGUACCAUACCAGAAAGGGACGGCUAAAUACGUGCCAGCAGCCGCGGGAAUACGUAUAUCCCGAGCGUUAUCCGGAUUUAUUGGGCGUAAAGCGAGCGCAGACGGUUGAUUAAGUCUGAUGUGAAAGCCCGGAGCUCAACUCCGGAAUGGCAUUGGAAGCUGGUUAACUUGAGUGUUGUAGAGGUAAGUGGAACUCCAUGUGUAG
rnacentral:rRNA from 1 species